rnacentral:rRNA from 1 species
UACGUAGGGAGCAAGCGUUGUUCGGAUUUACUGGGCGUAAAGGGCGCGUAGGCGGCAUGACAAGUCACUUGUGAAAUCUCUGGGCUUAACCCAGAACGGCCAAGUGAUACUGUCGCGCUAGAGUGCGGAAGGGGCAAUCGGAAUUCUCGGUGUAGCGGUGAAAUGCGUAGAUAUCGUAAGGAAGACCAGUGGCGAAGGCGGGUCUCUGGACAGUUCCUGACGCUGAGGCACGAAGGUCAGGGGAGCAAACGGG